rnacentral:lncRNA from 1 species
ACUACUGCCAAUACCAAUGUGGACCAGUCCACCUAACACAUCCACACAUGCACCUAGCUUGAGAGUGUCAAUGGAGCAAGUCUCUUGUUUUGGUGGUGGUGGUGGAGGUGGAGGACAUGGUGUUUCAGGUGGUGGAGGGUUCACAAUAGGUGGUGUUGGUGGCUUUAUUGGAGGAGUCACUGGAGGCUUUGGUGGUGGAAGAGUUGGUGGUGCUGGUGGCAUUAUUGGAGGAGUCACUGGAGGCUUUGGUGGUGGAAGAGUUGGUGGUGUUGGUGGUGUUGGUGGCAUUAUUGGAGGAGUCACUGGAGGCUUUGGUGGUGGAAGAGUUGGUGGUGUUGGUGGCAUUAUUGGAGGAGUCACUGGAGGCUUUGGUGGUGGAAGAGUUGGUGGUGUUGGUGGCUUUAUUGGAGGAGUCACUGGAGGCUUUGGUGGUGGAAGAGUUGGUGGUGGAAGAGCUGGAGGUGUUGGUGGCUUUAUUGGAGGAAUCACUGGAGGCUUUGGUGGUGGAAGAGCUGGUGGUGUUGGUGGCAGAACUGGUGGUUUGGGCACAUAUGGUGGUUUUGGUAUGAAGGGCGGAUGCACAAUGGGUGGUUUCGGUUUGAAGGGCGGAUGCACAAUGGGUGGUUUCGGUUUGAAGGGCGGAUGCACAAUGGGUGGUUUCGGUGUAUAGGGCGGAUGCACAAUGGGUG